AUUGAACGCUGGCGGCAUGCCUAACACAUGCAAGUCGAACGGUAACAGGCCGCUAGGUCCUGUCUAGCGGCGCCGGGGGGAGUAAUACAUCGGAGCGUGUACCGUCGCGGGGGGUAACUACUCACAAGAGUAGCUCAUACCCCAUACCAGCUAUGAUUGAGAGCGGGGGGGCGCAAGGGCUCGAGCGGUUUGAGCUGCCGCUGUCAGAUUAGCUAGUUGGUGGGGUAAAGGCUUACCAAGACAACGAUCUGUAGCAGGUCUGAGAGGAUGAGCAGCCACACUGGAACUGAGACACGGUCCAGACUCCUACGGGAGGCAGCAGUGGGGAAUUUUGGACAAUGGGCGAAAGCCUGAUCCAGCAAUGCCGCGUGAGGGAAGAAGGUCUUCGGAUUGUAAACUUCUUUUAUACGGAACGAAACGGCGUUGGUUAAUACCCGGAGCUAAUGACGGUACCGAAAGAAUAAGCACCGGCUAACUACGUG
rnacentral:rRNA from 1 species